CAGUCGUGCGGGUCCCGCAAGGGCGAGGUCAAAUUAGGAUACCGAAGUACUUGGCGAGGAUGCCGAGAAACAGCGGCUGUAGGUUGAAGGUGGCGUGACCGUACUAAAACUGACACAGGUAGGCGAGGAGAAUAUCCUCAGGCGCUCGAGAGAACGGUCCUUAAGGAACUAGGCAAAUUGACCCCGUAAGUUCGCGAUAAGGGGACCCUCCAGACACGUUUAAUUCAUUAGAUGUGGGCUGAGGGCACAGAAAAGUGGCUCUAGCGACUGUUUAUCAAAAACACAGUUCUCUGCUAACUCGCAAAGAGGAUGUAUAGAGAAUGACGCCUGCUCGGUGCCGGAAGGUUAAGUGGAAGGGUUAGCUCCUUCGGGGGCGAAGCUCCUAAAUGAAGCCCCGGUAAACGGCGGCCGUAACUAUGACGGUCCUAAGGUAGCGAAGUUCCUUGUCGGGUAAGUUCCGACGUGCAUGAACGGCGUAACGACUGGAGCACUGUCUCAAGGACCGACUCGGUGAAAUUGUACUUGUGGUGAAGAUACCACAUACCCGCGGCAAGACGGAAAGACCCCGUGAACCCUUACUGUAUCCUGGUAUUGAUGCCUGGCAUGGCUUGCGUAGGAUAGGUGGGAGGCGUUGAAGUUCGGAUCUCGGUCCGGACGGAGCCAACCUUGAAAUACCACCCUUGGCAUGUUAGUCACCUAACCGUGACCCGUGAAUCCGGGCAUGGGACAGUGCUAGGUGGGCAGUUUGACUGGGGCGGUCUCCUCCAAAAAGGUAACGGAGGAGUUCAAAGGUACACUCAGCGUGGUUGGCAAUCACGUUUAGAGCGCAAGGGUACAAGUGUGCUUAACUGCGAGACCGAUUGGUCGAGCAGGUGCGAAAGCAGGACCUAGUGAUCCGGCGAUCCCGUGUGGAAGGGUCGUCGCUCAACAGAUAAAAGGUACUCCGGGGAUAACAGGCUGAUCUCCACCGAGCGUUCAUAGCGGCGUGGAGGUUUGGCACAUCGAUGUCGGCUCAUCACAUCCUGGGGCUGAAGGCGGUCCCAAGGGUUGGGCUGUUCGCCCAUUAAAGUGGUACGCGAGCUGGGUUCAGACCGGCGUGAGCCAGGUCGGUCCCUAUCUGCCGUGGGCGUAGGAAUCUUGAGGGGAUAUUUCCUUAGUACGAGAGGAUUAGGAAGUACUGACCGCUGGUGUACCGGUUGUGCCGCUAGGUGCAGCGCCGGGUAGCUAUGUCGGGAAAGGAUAACCGCUGAAGGCAUCUAAGCGGGAAGCCCACCCCAAGACGAGGAUUCCAUUCCAGCUUCGGCUGGAGGAGAGCCCUGGAAGACCACCAGGUUAAUAGGCCGGAUGUGUAAGACGCGAAAUCGUCUCAGCUAACCGGUACUAACGCUCGAUCACUUGACCAU
rnacentral:rRNA from 1 species